rnacentral:rRNA from 1 species
GGACGAACGCUGGCGGCGUGCCUAACACAUGCAAGUCGAGCGAGGAGAUCCUCGGGAUGAUCCUAGCGGCGGACGGGUGAGUAACACGUGGGCAACCUGCCUCAUAGAGAGGAAUAGCCUUCCGAAAGGGAGAUUAAUACCUCAUAACAUUGCAGUUUCGCAUGGAACAGCAAUUAAAGGAGUAAUCCGCUAUGAGAUGGGCCCGCGGCGCAUUAGCUAGUUGGUGAGGUAACGGCUCACCAAGGCGACGAUGCGUAGCCGACCUGAGAGGGUGAUCGGCCACAUUGGGACUGAGACACGGCCCAGACUCCUACGGGAGGCAGCAGUGGGGAAUAUUGCACAAUGGGGGAAACCCUGAUGCAAGCAACGCCGCGUGAGUGAUGACGGCCUUCGGGUUGUAAAGCUCUGUCUUCAGGGACGAUAAUGACGGUACCUGAGGAGGAAGCCACGGCUAACUACGUGCCAGCAGCCGC